GUAGGUGAACCUGCGGAAGGAUCAUUACCGAGCCAGGGUCUUUCAGGCCCGAAACUCCAACCCCGUGUCUAUCUACCACGUUGCUUUGGCGGGCCCGCCUUCACCGGCCGCCGGGGGCCUUUCGACCCCUGGCCCGCGCCCGUCAGUAGCCCCCCAACAAAUUCUUCGUACCAGUGAUGUCUGAGUUUAAUUAUAAUCGUUAAAACUUUCAACAACGGAUCUCUUGGUUCUG
rnacentral:misc_RNA from 1 species